AUACGGAGGAUGCAAGCGUUAUCCGGAUUUAUUGGGUUUAAAGGGUGCGUAGGCGGGCGCGUAAGUCAGCGGUGAAAUACCCCUGCUCAACAGGGGGGCUGCCGUUGAUACUGCGUGUCUAGAGUGCGAACGGCGCCGGCGGAAUGUGUCAUGUAGCGGUGAAAUGCAUAGAGAUGACACAGAACACCGAUCGCGAAGGCAGCUGGCGAGCACGACACUGACGCUGAGGCACGAAGGUGCGGGGAUCGAACAGGAUUAGAUACCCUGGUAGUCCGCACAGUAAACGAUGACGACUUGUUGUCGGCGACACACUGCCGGUGACAAAGCGAAAGCGAUAAGUCGUCCACCUGGGGAGUACGAUCGCAAGGUUGAAACUCAAAUGAAUUGACGGGG
rnacentral:rRNA from 1 species